GAGAAAUUUGUGGAAUUUCAAAGAAUAAAGCAAUCAAAGGUGGUGAGCCCUCUGAUAAAGGUAAAGACAUCGUACUCUAGGACCAAGAAUAGGAGUACUUCAAACUCCCGCUAUUCUAAGAACAAAGAGAAAAGAAUAAGAGCAAACCCUAGAGAUGAAAAUCCAAGAGAAAUUUGUUGAAUUUAAAGGAACAAAACAAUCAAAGGCUCAGGAUAGUCCGUAGAUAGUUGAUUUCGUCGAAGAUCUACUUUUGGAUUUACAUCCUUAGAAAUCGAAGGUCUACUUUAUUAUACAUAUUUGUUUAUUUUGGGGGCCCACAUGUCAUUGUAGAA